rnacentral:miRNA from 1 species
ACCGAGUUCCCGCGGGGAAGCUUC